rnacentral:rRNA from 1 species
GACGAACGCUGGCGGCGUGCCUAAUACAUGCAAGUAGAACGCUGAAGGAGGAGCUUGCUCCUCUGGAUGAGUUGCGAACGGGUGAGUAACGCGUAAGUAACCUGCCUGGUAGCGGGGGAUAACUAUUGGAAACGAUAGCUAAUACCGCAUAACAGUAGAUGUUGCAUGACAUUUGCUUAAAAGGUGCAAUUGCACCACUACCAGAUGGACCUGCGUUGUAUUAGCUAGUUGGUGGGGUAACGGCUCACCAAGGCGACGAUACAUAGCCGACCUGAGAGGGUGAUCGGCCACACUGGGACUGAGACACGGCCCAGACUCCUACGGGAGGCAGCAGUAGGGAAUCUUCGGCAAUGGACGGAAGUCUGACCGAGCAACGCCGCGUGAGUGAAGAAGGUUGUCGGAUCGUAAAGCUCUGUUGUAAGAGAAGAACGAGUGUGAGAGUGGAAAGUUCACACUGUGACGGUAUCUUACCAGAAAGGGACGGCUAACUACGUG